UCGGUCUAUGGCGAGUAUGAUUUAGUCUUUGAUGGCCCCACAGGCAUGAGAACCCCCGGUACUUGGAAUCGUCACUAACAGCAUCGCUUGUCACUGCACACGGGGAGUGUGGCCAUUUGAGCACUGCACCUGGGCAUAUGGAUAAAUGGGCCCUCACUACUGACUGUGAAAAAUGACACAUACAAGCUAAGAAGAGCUCAGAAAAAUGCCUGAGAAUUCAGCAUAAUGCAGAUGAAAUCUUCCAGCACUUCUUACUCCCACGGAAGAGGAAGUGUUAGCCAUACUAUAUUGUGCAGCCCUAUAAACACCUCUCUGCAGUUAGUUCCAAUUGCGGAGUAAACGAUGGUGAGAACAUGAUAAUACAGGGAAAUCGAUGUCCAAGGACUGAUGACUUCAACAUCUUCCCAGUGCCAUCUGAGCAACAGGGCUUCCAGCGAGCAGAGAGGACUCCAAGUGUGAAUCUGAUUCAGGAUAAACAAGACCACUACAUUAUUUUCCAAGUCAAAGAAACUGCUGCAGGCAUGGAUACAUAG
rnacentral:lncRNA from 1 species